AUUAUGGGAAGAGCAUGGCGGGUCAAUUUUUUCAUUGUUUUCCUCCCGUUACGAGGAAAUCUCUUCACUCCAUUUUCAUCCAAAAGGACACUUUUCUUCCACCCUACUUCCAUUUUCAUCUCUUUAAUCUUUCCAUUUCAAAGUCCACCCCUUCAUUUCAUUAAACCUAAGAAAGCAAAUAGAGAAACAAGUAAAGAGAAAGCUUGAGGGCAACUUCUUUCAGGUAUGAGUUGUGGAAAGUGAAGAAGAAAAAAAAAUCAAAGUUAGGAGGCUAAGGCUUUCGGCCAAGGCGGGAAUUUGAUAAAUCAAAGGCAAAAAUAUAGGAGGAGGAAUAAUGCCCUGUUCGGCUACACUUGUGGAGAUGAAUUGGUGCAAAGAGAAGCAAGGAGGGUAAAGAAGCAAACUUAGGGUCUUGGGGUGCCUAGAGUGAUGUAGAUAAAGGAAGUAACUUUCCAAAUGAGGAUGAGGGGCUCUUGGAAAUUUAGAUGAAACAACCCAAACUUUUACUUGGUUGAUGGAGACAUGGCAUAAGGCCAUGAAUGGAAAAGCACUUGAAGCAAUUAUAACAGAUCAAGAUAAGGCCAUACAAGUAGCUAUUGAGAAAGUAUUUCCAAAUGCACGUUAUCGUUAUUGCUUAUGGCAGAUCAUGAGAAAAGUGUUAAAGUUUGGCCAUGUCACUAGAGAGCACCAAGACUUCAUGGGAGUAUUUAAGAGAUGCAUUUAAAAAUCAUGGACUAAGGAGCAAUUUGAAUUGAGAUGGUUGGAAAUGAUAGAAAAUUUUGACUUUGCGGAAAAUGAAUGGCUUCAGUCAUUAUAUAAGGAUCGUGAGUGUUGGAUGCCUACCUAUAUGAGAGAUACAUUUUUUUCGGGUAUGUAGUACUAAAUGCAUUUUUUUAUUUGUCAAAUAUUAUUAAGAUCAUGAAUUAUAACGGCUCAAGUAAUUUUCUAUAGUUCCAUCUUUUUAACAUUUUGGUAUAUUUAGUUUCUUAUUUGAAUUUAUAUUUAUUAAUUUAUACACUUGGUGCACACAUUAUUUUCUAUUAUGAUGCCUUCUUUUUUUAACAAAGUGAUAAUGUGUUAU